GCUUGUCUCCUCAUCUCCCGUGUAUUCUUGCCACCUGUAUUUCAUUGCAUUUGUCCAUCUUCCUUCCCAUCUUCUCUCACUUUUGGAAUAUGGCCUGGCAAAAGACUAGCUACGUCUUUCAGCCAGUUUCUUCUUCACCUCUAUUCCACAGGAGUCAGACAUAAGUGUGAUUGCCAAGACUGAAUUCUGCAGUCCUGGAGUGCCCCAAGAGUACUUUGUCUCCUGCAUAGAGAUGUUCAACUCUAUAGGGAAUCCUGGUGCAAGGCAGAGCAAGCGUGUCACUAGUCUUCAUUCUCUUGGUUAUCAAAUACCCUGAGCCCAGCUACAGGCCUCUUAAAUGUGGGCAGCACAAUUACUAAAAUAAAGGAGAACGAGACUGGGAGAGUUGAUUCAGUGCCAGAAGUGUGCAAAUAUGGUGGAGGCGAACUGUACUGUGUUCUUACUGUCUUGGUCGUGUUUAAAAUUGUUCAGCAGAGAAAUGUGAUAUUUCCUGGUAUAUACUAGCUUUCUUCGUCUGUCUUAUUUUUUCCAAGAGAGUGUAAUCUGAAUGAUUUGGUAUAUUUAAGCUAAUAACUGAUGUAUUUUUAAAUUUGAAGUUUAAGUUACUGCUAAUCCAGAAGCUAGAACCUUGCAGCAACCUGCCUGAUUCUGAGUGAAUCAAAACACUCACAAAUCAAGAUGCCACUUUCAAGAGCAGUAUUGCUAUUAUAAUUUGUUAGAGGAGUUUUGUAUAUGGAAAUCAAACUUUCACCUGCCAUCUGGUGGAAAUAAACUGAAAAGCUGUAAUGUGUACCUCCUAACUAAGGAUUGCACCUGUUGCCAGCUUGCUGGCAGUAUAGGAACUUGCAGUGCUGGUUGUAUAUCAAGAGCAAUAAGGUUAUAUUGCUCACUUCCUUCCUGUGUAUGACAAAAUAACUUCUGGACACCUUUUUUGCUUCAGUUUCAGUAGAGUAAAAGAGCUUGGCACCCUGCGUUUAUACAUGGUUGACUACAAAGUGAUAAUGCAAGAUGAUCAGUAGAAUCAGGACAUAAUAAAAAGUUGAUAUCAAAAUAUCUGAGUAGGAGAAAACUGGCUCAUAGAAGUUUGGUGCUAUUUAUUUUGUGUAGAGGGAACUAAAAUGUCUCAGUUUUCUGUGCUGCAAACAGCCUUAAUACACUUAUGCUUUUACUAUAUGCAGGGGUUGUUACCAAAGUGACUGUAAACAGCAACAACAAAAAUCCCUUGUCUUUUAAUUUAUGGCUUCUCCAUAUUCUUUUGUUUCCUUAUGCAUCCUUCUCAUUUUCUGAUAUUUGUGCAUAUGUAUUUUAGUCUUUUUCUGCAAGAUGUUAACAGGUUUCUCUCUUGCAGUUCACUGAAAUUUAAUCAUGAAAUAUUUACAAGUCUGUUCAGGAGGAUUUUAAAUAAGGUGGUCUGUCUUGAUGCUAAAGCAGUGCAAGUGGUCAGGCCAUACAGCUAGUGAUUUUAAAAAGUAAAAAUUAUUUCUAAUGAAAUGUUUAUUUUGUUAACUAACCCUUAGUUUGUGUAGUUGUGUUCUUUAAAUCUGUAGUCACAUUCAGGGAUUGCUCAAACCUCCAAUAUGUAGUAUGUACCCUAAUAAU